rnacentral:tRNA from 1 species
GCCUGUCUGGCCCAGUCAGUAGAGCGUGAGACUCUUGAUCUCCGGGUUGUAAGUUCAAGCCCUAUGUUGAGUA